CCCCUGGUGGCUCACACAGUAAAGUGUCUGCCUACAAUGCAGGAGACCCAGGUUCAAUCCCUGGGUUGGGAA
rnacentral:tRNA from 1 species